CCUACGGGAGGCAGCAGUGAGGAAUAUUGGACAAUGGGCGCAAGCCUGAUCCAGCCAUGCCGCGUGCAGGAAGACGGUCCUAUGGAUUGUAAACUGCUUUUAUACAGGAAGAAACACCUCUACGUGUAGAGACUUGACGGUACUGUAUGAAUAAGCAUCGGCUAACUCCGUGCCAGCAGCCGCGGUAAUACGGAGGAUGCAAGCGUUAUCCGGAAUCAUUGGGUUUAAAGGGUCCGUAGGCGGUUUAAUAAGUCAGUGGUGAAAGCCCAUCGCUCAACGAUGGAACGGCCAUUGAUACUGUUAAACUUGAAUUAUUAGGAAGUAACUAGAAUAUGUAGUGUAGCGGUGAAAUGCUUAGAGAUUACAUGGAAUACCAAUUGCGAAGGCAGGUUACUACUAAUAUAUUGACGCUGAUGGACGAAAGCGUGGGGAGCGAACAGGAUUAGAUACCCUGGUAGUCCACGCCGUAAACGAUGGAUACUAGCUGUUCGGAGCAAUCUGAGUGGCUAAGCGAAAGUGAUAAGUAUCCACCUGGGGAGUACGUUGCAGAAUUGAAACUUCAAGGAUUGACGGCUUGAGACGNGCGAGCGCGACGAGGAGGAGG
rnacentral:rRNA from 1 species